rnacentral:sRNA from 1 species
UGAAGAUGGUAUAGAGUCUAGCUCCCAAA